GGCUAAAGGAGCAGUAAAAUCACAAAUAAAGGUUAUGCAAAGUUAAAAGUGGAUUUUAACACCAUCAUGACUCAUGACUAAUAUACUUACAGAGCAGUUGGGUGUGCAAAAACCAGAAACGGGAAUGCUCUGCCCUGCAAACUAAAAUUUCCAUAACUUUCCCUGAAUCAGAAGCAAACUUCAGUAUGCCGGCAAACUUCGUCUAAGCACUUCUGCUCUCCUCAGUUUAAAUACUGAAAUAAAGAUCAUAUACUGUAGAAGAAUGCAUUUGAUCUAUUUCAGAGAUUUUUGUUAAAACCGAUAUGUGCAACCCAGAUUCCUACCUCCUUUCUGCGCUGUCAGUGAAUCUAAACUUUCUUUGGCCUUCUCAGUCCACAUACAGCAAACUGAGUUAUCUAACAGACGUCAGCUGCAGAUGAAAGUGUUUGCUCUCCACUGUCAGUCCCCCCCUCAUACACACACAGCUGAGUGAUAAAAAACAAAGUCGACCAGAGCGUCUGAGCCGAGGUCACGACAGGAAUGCUGAUAAGGAGAGGCGGUCAGAGCGAGAGGCGUAUCUGCAUGUUGACAGAGUGAAACAAGCAGUGGGGACGCUGUGGUUGUGUACUGUAUCAGGCUGGGUCGUGUUUGUCUUAAACAUCAUGUUUGUUCUGUUCGCUGCGAGUGCUGCAGAUGAGAUUGGCGAGUACCAAAAGGUCAUUUUCACUGACUCUGAGGCUGAAAUCUGCACGUAAAUCUCUGCACGUCCUUCUCUUCAGCUCCUGACCUCUCCUGUCAGUGAUUUUCUCUCCUCAUUGCUCCUCUGCAGCUUUAACUGUGUCAUCCAAGCUGAAAUGCUCACUUACUACUCCUGUGUUUGCUCAGUCCUGCGCAUGUUUGCAUUCCACUACCCUCCUCCAAUCAGGAUGGACCACGACUGAAUCUUUUUCGUGUUUUUAUUUGUUUUUUUGUGUUUAGCCCAUCUAAGAAGGUAAACAGGAGCAACACAAGCAUCUUUGUUGGGUUGUUUUUUUUGAGAGCAUGGCACCAAUACGGGUAACUCCCAUGAGAGCCGGACUCAAAAUCCAAACAAAGAGGGCCCUAUGAUAGGAAGGGUGUAGAGGAAAAAUAAAAACUAAAAAGUACAGUGUUAUUUUGGACAGGCCUUGCCCAGAGUACUGUGAAAUAACAGUCAGUGUAAGAGACACUGCAGGCAGCCUAAUCGUCUUGUUUGCUCUCUUCGCUCAAAACGAAGCAUCAAUAUAAAAAUCAUUCAGUUUCAUAACGGGACAAAAACUUCUCACAGUAGCUUUUAAGAGGGGCUUUUUUCAUAUUUUGAAAACAAAUGUUAAUUUAAAGUGUCGGAUGCCAGUACUGUACAUGAAAAAGUUUCAGACUGUAAGGAUUAAUGGGUGGGUUUAAUGUGUGGAUUAAUGGGUGGUCUGAAUGGCUCGCUCAAAAAAGUCACGAAAAUUCAGCAAGAUCAUAGAAUAGAAGAAUAGAAUAUUCUUUUAUUGAUCCCCCAUGGGCGAAAUUUUUUUGUCACACCAGCAUCACAGACUAAGAGUGUAAAAAUGCAGCUAUAAAAAUAAAGAUCCUAAUAUUAAGAACUUAAAUAAAUGUAAUAAUUAAGAAAAAAAUUAGAAAAAGGAAAAAGGGAGAAGAAAAAUAAAACUAUCUACAAUAUACACAAUUUAAAUGCCAGAAAAAAGUGGUGGUGUAAAUCCAGUUAUUAUUACAGUUCGUUGUAAAGUCUUAUUUUUUUAAUUAUUAUUAAUUUAUUAUUUUUUUUAUUUUUUAUUUUAAAAUCAAUAUGAGAUUCUAAGGACUUUCACCUUCCUUUGUGUCGGACAUCCCUGAACCAAUCCACACUAAAACACAGAGGUCCAUCUUUGUGGAACCAACUACCUAACACUCUACAGUCAGCAUAUUCAUUAUCAUCAUUUAAAAGGCAAUUAAAAAGGUCAUUUCUGUGAUAGUUUUGAGUAACUGAUCUUGGAUCCAUUCAAUUUGACUGGAUUUGUUAACUUUGUCAUAUAAUUUAUAUUUCCUUGUUACUGUUAAAUUGUAUUGUUGUUUCUGCUUGUUUAUUUUAUUUAUAAUAAUAAUAAUAAUAAUAAUAAUAAUAGUAAUAGUAAUAAUAAUAAUAAUAUUAGUAUUAUUAUUAAUUUUUUAUUAUUAUUAUUUUUUUUUUAUAACUUGCACUGCUGCCUAGAUUAAUUGUAGCUAUAUCAGGGGGAGGUACUUUGACAAGCUUUUUUGGCUUCUAACCUCCCCUGCACAAUGCUGUUUUAAAUCUAUUAUAAAAUUGUUCUCUAUUUGUCAUGUGCAAAUGAAUAAACUAAACUAAACUAAACUAAACAAAUGUACUCAAAUUGUGACAUCACCAGACAGUGAAUCGUCUUAAAAGGGCAAAUUUAUCUUUAAAAAGAAAACAAAAAAACCUUUGUUGCAUGGUAAAAUAUGUCAAAAGUAAAAGGGAGAUUAAAAGUAAAACAUCUAAGUUAAAGUAAAGUAAAAUGUUUCAAAAAUUUUUUUCAAAGGCAACAGUAAAUGAGGCUCCUAGAAUGUUGGGUUCUGGAGUGCUAUGGGAACCUUAAAGGAAAAGUUUCUUAAAGGAAUUUAAAGGUAGUUCUUAAAUGGCAAAAUGGCAAAAACAAUGAAAUGGCAUAAGUGUUUUUUUUAUUAAAAUAAGCAAAACUAAUGAAUUUACAAUAUCUUUUGAACCCCUAAUGAGAAUAUUUGCUGUGGAAAAUGUAAAAAGGCUCUUUUUGCAGCAAAUCCCACAGUCAAAAACAACUAUAUAGAAAAAUCCCUCUUGUCUCUAAUAGUCGUGUUUGCUUUAGUGAGUUUAAUCUUCCGAGGUGGUUGUCAUUUCUUCUUUUCAACCAAUUAUGCAUUUAUAGACAUUGUGGCCUCUGGCAAAAUGCAAAAUCAAUCCUAAUGAUUAACUAUACGUUCUGAAUAAUCAACGAACUAAAUAUUUAGAUAAAAUGAAAUAGUAAAACCUCCAUCGAACCAGAGAAUUGUAAUUUAGAGCUAUGAUUACGAUGCAUUUAUAUAACAGACGCUGGGAGCAGAAAAAAUCCUGCAUAAAAGUUUUUUUCAGCACGUAUGAUCUAGUUCUAUAAAGAUCAAAACAGCCAGGAAAUCUACACAUGCAAGUAUGGAGAUGAAACCUGCACGUGUGAUAGAUCAGUGCUGCAGUACAUUCACAUGGGAGUCAGUCCAGAGUGCUUGUAGUAGAGAUGAAAACACUUACAGAACCUCCUGGGUAUGCUGCCCUCAACGUCUUAAAUCCUGAAUCAGAAAAGGAAACUACAUGUCUGGUUUGAUGUUUCUGUGAUGGUCCCGUCUGUACUGAUGUGCCGUUUAACAAGAAUUUAAUGAAAAGUCUGCAGGCUCCCCCAUGUCUUCUCUGAGCCCCCGUCACCAAAGAAUGCUCCGGACCGCUCCGAAAAUCAAUGUCAACCCUGAACCAACUUUGUCCUGUCAGGACAGUUUGGUGCACUCGACUGAGCACAUUAUGUUCCUGGAGUCACAUCUGAUCUCUGACUUUGAUCACUGCAUGUUUUUGUCUUUGCUUUUUAUCCUCUGAGGCCCCUCUUGAGCAUUGUCGCCUCUGUAUUGGCUUAGCUAAACUUAGGUCCACAGAGGGAUGUUGAGAAUUUCAGGGAUACGCUGUGUGAACAGGAUGUAUGGACAACACCGCUCAUACUGUAGAUCCCUGUUCACACAGAAGAAGGAACUUGACGGACUUGAUUUGUAGAUCAAUAUUCUUGUAUACCAAACAACAUUAUUUUAUUUUGUCAAUGUAACAAGUAGGAUUGAUUCGUGCUGCUGUGUUUUCCAGUAUAUUGGCUUGUUUCUUGUUAGACUAACCAUUUUCAAAUUGUUAUUUCAAUGUCCAAAACUACUGGUGUGGGGAAUCAGUCAGACUUGAUCUAUUUGUUGGGCUUCGACUGUUCUCAUGAGGAUUUUAUUACCUUCGUGAGGACUCCGACUCCCACCUCUAAUCCAAAAGAGCUUUUUCACAAUUCUAUUUCUUUAUACUUUUCUCACACAAAUAGAUAAAAUCAAAACAAUGAGAAAGAAAUCAUAUACUGCACUAAAAUGAAUAAAUAAAUAUUUAAGUAAGAGUAGGUACAACUCUGAACACCUGCCUGUCAUUCUUGUGGGUCAACAAUUCAAUCAUCUAAACUGCUCCGAACUACCUGGACAUAUUCUCUCUCUAUGGCUAUCUAACCAACCAACCAACCAACCAACCAGCAAGCUAACAAAGCAACCAACCAACCAUCCAACAAACAAACCAACAAAGCACCUAGCCAGCCAACCAACCAACCGACUAGCUAGCCAGCCAACCAACCGAGCCAACAAACCAACCAACCAACCAACCGGCUAGCUAGCUAGCCAGCCAGCCAACCAGCCAGCUACCCAUCCAACCAACCAACCAACCAACCAACCAACCAACCAACCAACCAACCAACCAACCAACCAACCAACCAACCAACCAACCAGCAAGCCAACCAACCAACUUAUCAAAGAACCAAACAAGCAACCAACCAGCCAGCCAGCCAAUUAACCAGCAAGCCAACAAA